rnacentral:lncRNA from 1 species
CCACUGGGCCAAUACAGUCAAAUCAUACAAUACUGACUGCAAAUCAUGCCUAAGUCCUUUAAAAUCUGACAAAGUCAAAGAUGAGGCUAGUAAUAUAUAUCCUUGGUCCCUUGCUGUUACACAAAAACAAAGGUUGAUUUUCAUAGCGCGCAAAAGUGACUAAAGCCCUCAAAAUCCUAGCUUCAAUGGAGUUAACGGAUCGCCUAAACAAGGUUAAGAAUGGCGAAUAUCUGUUUCAGUGGCUGAGAAAUUUCUAAUUAAUACAUUUACUCACAC